UUAAAAAGCUCGUAGUUGGAUUUCUGAUGAGAGCCCUGGUCACUCUAACGAGUGUACUGAUGUGGCGUCUCGUCGUUUCAUGGGGAUGCUUGCUGGUAUUAAGUUAUCGGCUUGUGGAUCCAUGUCGUUUACUGUGAAAAAAUUAGAGUGUUCAAAGCAGGCCAUCGCUGUGAAUACAUUAGCAUGGAAUAAUAAGAUAGGACUGUGGUGCUAUUUUGUUGGUUUGCGUACUACGGUAAUGAUUAAUAGGGAUAGUUGGGGGUAUUCAUAUUCAAUUGUCAGAGGUGAAAUUCUUGGAUUUAUGGAAGAUGAACUACUGCGAAAGCAUUUACCAAGGAUGUUUUCAUUAAUCAAGAACGAAAGUUAGGGGAUCGAANAUGAUUANAUACCAUCGUANUCUUAACCAUAAACUAUGCCGACUCGGGAUUGGCCGUCGUUGAAUGAAUGACUC
rnacentral:rRNA from 1 species